rnacentral:rRNA from 1 species
UACGUAGGGUGCGAGCGUUGUCCGGAAUUAUUGGGCGUAAAGAGCUCGUAGGCGGUCUGUCGCGUCUGCUGUGAAAUCCCGAGGCUCAACCUCGGGUCUGCAGUCGAUACGAGCAACUAGAGUGUUGCAGGGGAGACUGGAAUUCCUGGUGUAGCGGUGAAAUGCGCAGAUAUCAGGAGGAACACCGGUGGCGAAGGCGGGUCUCUGGGCAACAACUGACGCUGAGGAGCGAAAGCGUGGGGAGCGAACAGG